GGGUUGUGAGGUUAAGCGACUAAGCGUACACGGUGGAUGCCCUGGCAGUCAGAGGCGAUGAAGGACGUGCUAAUCUGCGAUAAGCGUCGGUAAGGUGAUAUGAACCGUUAUAACCGGCGAUUUCCGAAUGGGGAAACCCAGUGUGAUUCGUCACACUAUCAUUAACUGAAUCCAUAGGUUAAUGAGGCGAACCGGGGGAACUGAAACAUCUAAGUACCCCGAGGAAAAGAAAUCAACCGAGAUUCCCCCAGUAGCGGCGAGCGAACGGGGAGGAGCCCAGAGCCUGAAUCAGUGUGUGUGUUAGUGGAAGCGUCUGGAAAGGCGCGCGAUACAGGGUGACAGCCCCGUACACAAAAAUGCACAUAUUGUGAGCUCGAUGAGUAGGGCGGGACACGUGGUAUCCUGUCUGAAUAUGGGGGGACCAUCCUCCAAGGCUAAAUACUCCUGACUGACCGAUAGUGAACCAGUACCGUGAGGGAAAGGCGAAAAGAACCCCGGCGAGGGGAGUGAAAAAGAACCUGAAACCGUGUACGUACAAGCAGUGGGAGCACGCUUCGGCGUGUGACUGCGUACCUUUUGUAUAAUGGGUCAGCGACUUAUAUUCUGUAGCAAGGUUAACCGAAUAGGGGAGCCGAAGGGAAACCGAGUCUUAACUGGGCGUUAAGUUGCAGGGUAUAGACCCGAAACCCGGUGAUCUAGCCAUGGGCAGGUUGAAGGUUGGGUAACACUAACUGGAGGACCGAACCGACUAAUGUUGAAAAAUUAGCGGAUGACUUGUGGCUGGGGGUGAAAGGCCAAUCAAACCGGGAGAUAGCUGGUUCUCCCCGAAAGCUAUUUAGGUAGCGCCUCGUGAAUUCAUCUCCGGGGGUAGAGCACUGUUUCGGCAAGGGGGUCAUCCCGACUUACCAACCCGAUGCAAACUGCGAAUACCGGAGAAUGUUAUCACGGGAGACACACGGCGGGUGCUAACGUCCGUCGUGAAGAGGGAAACAACCCAGACCGCCAGCUAAGGUCCCAAAGUCAUGGUUAAGUGGGAAACGAUGUGGGAAGGCCCAGACAGCCAGGAUGUUGGCUUAGAAGCAGCCAUCAUUUAAAGAAAGCGUAAUAGCUCACUGGUCGAGUCGGCCUGCGCGGAAGAUGUAACGGGGCUAAACCAUGCACCGAAGCUGCGGCAGCGACGCUUAUGCGUUGUUGGGUAGGGGAGCGUUCUGUAAGCCUGUGAAGGUGUGCUGUGAGGCAUGCUGGAGGUAUCAGAAGUGCGAAUGCUGACAUAAGUAACGAUAAAGCGGGUGAAAAGCCCGCUCGCCGGAAGACCAAGGGUUCCUGUCCAACGUUAAUCGGGGCAGGGUGAGUCGACCCCUAAGGCGAGGCCGAAAGGCGUAGUCGAUGGGAAACAGGUUAAUAUUCCUGUACUUGGUGUUACUGCGAAGGGGGGACGGAGAAGGCUAUGUUGGCCGGGCGACGGUUGUCCCGGUUUAAGCGUGUAGGCUGGUUUUCCAGGCAAAUCCGGAAAAUCAAGGCUGAGGCGUGAUGACGAGGCACUACGGUGCUGAAGCAACAAAUGCCCUGCUUCCAGGAAAAGCCUCUAAGCAUCAGGUAACAUCAAAUCGUACCCCAAACCGACACAGGUGGUCAGGUAGAGAAUACCAAGGCGCUUGAGAGAACUCGGGUGAAGGAACUAGGCAAAAUGGUGCCGUAACUUCGGGAGAAGGCACGCUGAUAUGUAGGUGAAGUCCCUCGCGGAUGGAGCUGAAAUCAGUCGAAGAUACCAGCUGGCUGCAACUGUUUAUUAAAAACACAGCACUGUGCAAACACGAAAGUGGACGUAUACGGUGUGACGCCUGCCCGGUGCCGGAAGGUUAAUUGAUGGGGUCAGCGCAAGCGAAGCUCUUGAUCGAAGCCCCGGUAAACGGCGGCCGUAACUAUAACGGUCCUAAGGUAGCGAAAUUCCUUGUCGGGUAAGUUCCGACCUGCACGAAUGGCGUAAUGAUGGCCAGGCUGUCUCCACCCGAGACUCAGUGAAAUUGAACUCGCUGUGAAGAUGCAGUGUACCCGCGGCAAGACGGAAAGACCCCGUGAACCUUUACUAUAGCUUGACACUGAACAUUGAGCCUUGAUGUGUAGGAUAGGUGGGAGGCUUUGAAGUGUGGACGCCAGUCUGCAUGGAGCCGACCUUGAAAUACCACCCUUUAAUGUUUGAUGUUCUAACGUUGACCCGUGAUCCGGGUUGCGGACAGUGUCUGGUGGGUAGUUUGACUGGGGCGGUCUCCUCCUAAAGAGUAACGGAGGAGCACGAAGGUUGGCUAAUCCUGGUCGGACAUCAGGAGGUUAGUGCAAUGGCAUAAGCCAGCUUGACUGCGAGCGUGACGGCGCGAGCAGGUGCGAAAGCAGGUCAUAGUGAUCCGGUGGUUCUGAAUGGAAGGGCCAUCGCUCAACGGAUAAAAGGUACUCCGGGGAUAACAGGCUGAUACCGCCCAAGAGUUCAUAUCGACGGCGGUGUUUGGCACCUCGAUGUCGGCUCAUCACAUCCUGGGGCUGAAGUAGGUCCCAAGGGUAUGGCUGUUCGCCAUUUAAAGUGGUACGCGAGCUGGGUUUAGAACGUCGUGAGACAGUUCGGUCCCUAUCUGCCGUGGGCGCUGGAGAACUGAGGGGGGCUGCUCCUAGUACGAGAGGACCGGAGUGGACGCAUCACUGGUGUUCGGGUUGUCAUGCCAAUGGCACUGCCCGGUAGCUAAAUGCGGAAGAGAUAAGUGCUGAAAGCAUCUAAGCACGAAACUUGCCCCGAGAUGAGUUCUCCCUGACCCUUUAAGGGUCCUGAAGGAACGUUGAAGACGACGACGUUGAUAGGCCGGGUGUGUAAGCGCAGCGAUGCGUUGAGCUAACCGGUACUAAUGAACCGUGAGGCUUAACCUUACAACGCCGAAG
rnacentral:rRNA from 1 species